GAUGAACGCUGGCGGCGUGCCUAAUACAUGCAAGUCGAGCGAAAAGACGAGGAGCUUGCUCCUCUGACGUUAGCGGCGGACGGGUGAGUCACACGAGGAUCACCUACUUAUAAGACUGGGAUAACUUCGGGAAACCGGAGCUAAUACCGGAUAAUCUACUGAACCGCAUGGUUCAAUAGUGAAAGACGGCUUUGCUGUCUCUUCUCGAGGCAUCCGGGCCGCAUUAGCUAGUUGGUACGGUAAAGGCUUAUCAAGGCUAGGAUGCGUAGCCGACGUGCGAGGGUGAUCGGCGACACUGGAACGGAGACACGGUCCAGAGUCCUACGGGAGGCAGCAGUAGGGAAUCGUCCGCAGUAGGCGAAAGCCUGGCGGAGCAACGGCGCGUGAGUGAUGAAGGUGCUCGGAUCGUGAAACUCUGUUAUGAGGGAAGAACAAAUGUGUAAGGAGCUAUGCACGUCUUGACGGUACCUAGUCAGAAAGCCACGGCUAACUACGUG
rnacentral:rRNA from 1 species